UCUACUGAUACACCAAAAUUACAGUGAAAUCCUUUCUCCAGCUGCUAAGUACUGAGGUCUGCCAUUCCCAGAUUCCUCAUCAUCGUUCAGUGUACAAUGUACCCUUUACUGUUCUUGGAAACUUCCUUUUUUCUAUUGCAAGAUGGUAGGAUCAAUAUUCGUUGUGAUUACAGAUUAAUAAAAUCAAAUAAAUUGAAACAUAAUCAAGGUUGAACAGUGACGUCAUAGUAUUUUAGCAUUUUAAUUCCCGGUUUUCAUACAUUUAAUUGAUAAUAUGUUUUCCAAAAAAGGUACAGACGCAAAAAGAUAUUGUAAACAAUAAUGUUUGCAUUCUGGAAUCAUCAUUGAAGAAAAACAAACGUCAAUAAUUGCUUACAAAAACAAUUCAUAGUUAAUUAAUUAAAUUUAGAAGGUGAUGACAGCAAAGAGAACAAUGAAGCUAUUAACCAGUACAACCACAGCUCCAUUAAUCCGACUAGUCGGAGAAGAAUUCACGUCAGGCGGUGGUGGGUUCUUGUAGUACCAGGGGAAAUACGGCAGGAUUGGGUUCGGUGGCGGCGGAGCAAAGUUCAUAGACGGAGGGAAGUCGGGCACAUUACCAUAAGGUGGUGGUGGGUAAUAGUAGUUAGGAGAUGACGGCGGUGGAGGCGGUGGAGGAAGCUGGCAUGACGGACAGGAAGGCGUUGAAGGUGGUGGCGGCGAGGGUGGAGGGAGCGGCGGCGAUGGCGGAGGUGGGCAGUUUGUCGGCGGAUUGGGUGGCGGCGGUAGAACACAAGGAGAGGAGGAGCAAGCAAAUGUUGUUUGUGACAUUACCAUAAUCUUUGCUGGCGAUAAGCUGAUCAUGAAGAGAGUUAAAAGGGCGAUGAAUGAGUACGGAGCCAUGAUGAUGAUGAAGAAGUGAAAGGGGAGAAAUGUGGGAAAUUGGAGUGUAGAGAUAUGAUAAUGAAUUGGUCCAACAAGUAUAUAGUGACGAAGAAUAUUUGACUUUUAAUUAAAGUGUCUUCCUUUUUCUUCUUCUUUGUUUGGGUUAGGCUUCGUUGUAA
rnacentral:lncRNA from 1 species